GAGAGCUCAGCUCUCGUCUUCCCUGACUGCCCAGAACCCAGCGCCGCCAUCACUUUGACUCCGGCCGGCGCGCCACCACCGAAUUCUCUCUCUCCCUUCCCUUGGUUGAUUUCAACUCACAAAACCCGCAUGCAAAUGUUGUUGAAGGAGAUUGAAGCCAAAAAGAAGAAUUCCCCAAUUCCGAUCAAUCCUGCAACUGCGGUCACCGAUUCUUCUAUUUGAGGUUUGAGCUCCAACCAUGGCUUCUGCAAAUUCCGGCAAGACCAUAGUCUUCCAGUUUCGCUCCAAGCUCCAGUGUUACAGGAGCAAGGAGAAGCUGCUACUUUAGGUUCUGACUUCUGAGGCGAGAAUUGAAGUGUCCUUGUAAGUUGUUAUGCGUUAUUCUAGCGACAUUUGGACAAUUAGAGUUGCUGAGAAGCUUGAGUGGGCCUAGCAGCUCCUGUUACAACCUACAGGGAUGAUGAAUGCAAGACCUCCACUCUUCCAAGCUAGUUCAGCCUAAUCUCUCAAUUUUGGGAAGAAUUGAAGAUAAUUCCUUCUCUGGAUGCCACUGUGUUGUUGUUGGAAGUUGGAAAACAGAUUGAAGUUCAGAUUUGAUGAUGGCGUUUGGAUUUCAGUGAUUAGGGAACUAGUAUGUCGCAUUUGGUACUCAUUGGAAGCCACCGAGGGCGAGAAGGUGCCACCGACUUCCAUUCUGUUUGAUUUGAGUUCAACAGAAGCUUUGGAGCAUGAUUGAGGCAAGUGAGGACUUCAGACAAGGAUUUGGAAGCUCUGGCGACAUUAUCAAAUUCUAACAGAAACUUUAGAGUCUUUUGCAGGUCUUAACUUAUGUUCUGGAGCUAGGAGCCUUGUAGAGAAGUGAAGUCCAUGUUCCUCGUUCUAGUUCCUUUAUUAUCUCUCUAUUGUUAAGUUUAGUAUUUCCCGAGGUUUAAUUCUGAGAAUUGUCAACAUUUGAGUUCUAGUUCCUUUAUUAUCUCUCUAUUGUUAAGUUUAGUAUUUCCCGAGGUUUAAUUCUGAGAAUUGUCAACAUUUGAGUUGUUAUCUUUUGGGUUGUUGUAUUUAAAUGUUUUUGGGCAGGUGACUCUUAUCUCCACAUUCUGUACUUGUUUUGUAAACUUUUGUUUUGAGGAAAUAUUCAAGUUGUUUAUUUUGUUUGUGAAAGUAUAGUUGUGUUGUAAAAUUUUCUUUCACAAGUUUAGUUUGGCGAGUGUUAAAAUAGCACCAUGCUAU